rnacentral:rRNA from 1 species
UUAGGAAUCUUGGACAAUGGGCGCAAGCCUGAUCCAGCCAUGCCGCGUGAGUGAUGAAGGCCUUAGGGUUGUAAAGCUCUUUCAGCGGGGAAGAUAAUGACGGUACCCGCAGAAGAAGCCCCGGCUAACUUCGUGCCAGCAGCCGCGGUAAUACGAAGGGGGCUAGCGUUGCUCGGAAUCACUGGGCGUAAAGCGCACGUAGGCGGAUCUUUAAGUCAGGGGUGAAAUCCUGGAGCUCAACUCCAGAACUGCCUUUGAUACUGGAGAGCUUGAGUCCGGGAGAGGUGAGUGGAACUCCGAGUGUAGAGGUGAAAUUCGUAGAUAUUCGGAAGAACACCAGUGGCGAAGGCGGCUCACUGGCCCGGUACUGACGCUGAGGUGCGAAAGCGUGGGGAGCAAACA